rnacentral:rRNA from 1 species
CCUACUGGUGGCAGCAGUCGAGAAUCAUUCACAAUGGGGGCAACCCUGAUGCUGCGACGCCGCGUGGGGGAAUGAAGGUCUUCGGAUUGUAAACCCUUGUCCUGUGGGCGCAAAUUAAAAAGAUAGUACCACAAGAGGAAGAGCCGGCUAACUCGGUGCCAGCAGCCGCGGUAAUACAGAGGUCUCAAGCGUUGUUCGGAAUCACUGGGCGUAAAGCGUGCGUAGGCUGUUUCGUAGGUCGUUUGUGAAAGGCGCGGGCUCAACCCGCGGAUGGCAGAGGAUACUGCGAGACUAGAGUAAUGGAGGGGGAACCGGAAUUCUUGGUGUAGCAGUGAAAUGCGUAGAUAUCAGGAGGAACACUAGUGGCGAAGGCGGGUUCCUGGACAGUAACUGACGCUGAGGAGCGAAGGCCAGGGGAGCGAACGGGAUUAGAUACCCGAGUAGUC